AUAGGACGCGUUAUCGAUCCGUUGUUGCUUGCUCGACAAAAACGCUUAAGAUCAAUAUAUAAAAGUAUUGUAGAAAACAUAAAAUUUUCUGUUCUCCCUUUCUAUUUUUUGAAAAUAAUAAAAACUACUACCAAUGGCGUGCUGACGAGAUUCAGUGAAAUCCAAAUGAACUUUUUGUUUUGUUUGGUUGCGUGUCUACCGAGUGGGUUCUGUUCGACAAGUCGACAUCCUUGGAUGGAUCUAGCAGUUUUCUACACUGUUUGUAGUAAUUCAUUAAACCCAGUCUAAAGACAGCAAGCAGAGUUAGUCUAUGUUCAAUCGGAACUAUAUACGGUGUGCUGACGAGAUCCAACGGGAUCGGAAACGCGAUUCACAUCUGAUCAUACUAAUCAGCAUGGACAUUUUUGUCCAUGUCAAUAUUGUUACGUAUAAGCAUGUAGGUACGACAUUCAUGAGGAAGUACGUACCCAUAUGAAGGAUACUUAUGACAUGAAGACAGGACAAGGAGAGCAGAUAUCAUUUGAUGAUAUGAUAAAGAAUAUUUUGUAGCGGAGUUGUAGGAAAAUCUUACGGUCUACAAUCUAUUUUUAGCGAUGACUAGAAACAUGCGAACAGUUCACAUUCUUCUGAUAAUACUUUGGACAACAUGGUGAGAAGAUAUGCAAGAAAAUCGAUGAUGAUCUAACUUGAAAAUAUUAUUUUGGAAAUGAGAUCUUUUUAUAUUGAAGUACUAAAGUUUGGGGUCGAUGCGAUGAACAUUCAGUAAAUCAAAAUUGGUUGGUGAGUGAAGUUAAUUACUAUCUAUUAAAAAUUUUUAAUGUUGAAUCUAAAUAAUUUAUUGCAAAAGAUAACCGAGUUCUUUCAUAAAUUUAUAUGGUUGCAUUUUCAUUCAAAUGUUUUUUAUUUAUUGGGACUCCACACAUUUUUUCCAAAAUUGUCUAAAGUUACUUCUAGUUCAUUAAAUUCAAAAAUUAGAUUUCUUUCAAAAAUCCAAUUAGGCAUUAGUAGAAAAUGUUGUUUUACUUUAUGAACCAAUUACCGAAUUCAAUGCGUUUUUGAAAAUUAAUUAACAAUCUGUUUAAUAACCAGUCUAAUUUUAUUUAAAUUAUUCUUGAUAUAUUUUUAUAAAAUUAAAAUUACAACUAUAAAAUUCCCAAAGGAAACUGCUUAAGUAUUUAAUUUAUUAAUUCUUUACUUGUAUUAUAUUUAUAUGUAUUUUCACUGAUUUAUUUUAUUGUACAACGUUUCGCCGGCGCUAUUGGGUGCAUCUUCCGGCGUGCUUGAUGCACAUCGGGUGAUUCGCGAAUCGGUACGCGAAAUCCGUAUAAUUUUGAAAAUAAAUUCAUGUAAGUCUGACCACAUUAAUAUAUUGCUAAAUUUUGCAUUUUAUGUAAAAAUUAA